GAGGCGUUAAUAAAAAAAUUAUAUUACUUUGUCAAAGUUAAGUUAUAGGCUAAACCCUUUACACCUCU
rnacentral:tRNA from 2 species